rnacentral:rRNA from 1 species
GAUGAACGCUGGCGGCGUGCCUAAUACAUGCAAGUCGAGCGAACAGACGAGGAGCUUGCUCCUCUGACGUUAGCGGCGGACGGGUGAGUAACACGUGGAUAACCUACCUAUAAGACUGGGAUAACUUCGGGAAACCGGAGCUAAUACCGGAUAAUAUAUUGAACCGCAUGGUUCAAUAGUGAAAGACGGUUUUGCUGUCACUUAUAGAUGGAUCCGCGCCGCAUUAGCUAGUUGGUAAGGUAACGGCUUACCAAGGCAACGAUGCGUAGCCGACCUGAGAGGGUGGUCGGCCACACUGGAACUGCGACACGGUCCAGACUCCUACGGGAGGCAGCAGUAGGGAAUCUUCCGCAAUGGGCGAAAGCCUGACGGAGCAACGCCGCGUGAGUGAUGAAGGUCUUCGGAUCGUAAAACUCUGUUAUUAGGGAAGAACAAAUGUGUAAGUAACUAUGCACGUCUUGACGGUACCUAAUCAGAAAGCCACGGCUAACUACGUG